CAUCGUUGCCCCAAUGCCUCAGCCUGUUGCUAGGCUUAGUAAAGGGGUGAUGUUGGCUUCCCGUGAGCGAUGCCUCACGGUUGGCUGAAAAUUGAGUCCGUGGUGGAGUGCGCCGCGAUGGAUGGUGGUUGAGUAAAAGCUCGAGACCGAUCGUGUGUGUCACCCCUACCGGAUUUGGGACUCUUUGACCCAUGAGAGGCGUUGGCUGCCAAAGACGGGA
rnacentral:rRNA from 1 species